rnacentral:rRNA from 1 species
GAUCCUGGCUCAGGAUGAACGCUAGCGACAGGCCUAACACAUGCAAGUCGAGGGGCAGCGAAGAGGUAGCAAUACCUUUGCCGGCGACCGGCGCACGGGCGAGUAACACGUAUGCAGUCCACCUGUAACAGGGGGAUAACCCGGAGAAAUCCGGACUAAUACCCCAUAAUAUGGGCGCUCCGCAUGGAGAGCCCAUUAAAGAGAGCAAUUUUGGUUACAGACGAGCAUGCGCUCCA